UGGAACCUGGGAUUCAAGCCGCCAGGCAAAGUGCCCUAGCAGGGACUCUGGCUUAGUGAGAGUCUCUGUUUCCCCCUUUUCUUUCUUUCCACCCAAUAAAACCGGGUCUUACUCAUCAUUCAAAUUGUCUGCGAGCCUGAAUUUUUGUGGCCGUGGGACAAAGAACCCCGUCUUUAACGGAACUAAGGAAAAGCCCUGCAACAAUUUUGGCGCGCAACGUGGGGACUUGAGAAGCGGUUGAACUCUUUUGUGUCAACUAAAAGAACAUAUGAACAUAGCAGGGCUGUCAAGAUAAGGCCACAAGCUUGCCGAGUUGGGGACCUUUGAAAUACAAUGUGGAUUUGAAGAUGACUGGCCAAUGCAUUGGGAAUGAGACAUGUCAGAGUCAAGUAAAUAAAAUAACAGAAGAGAACAAAAGUAGGAAGACAAUAUGCCCAGUAAGUUAAAAAGUCAAAGAUUUUGCAAUGAGCAUAAACAGAGCCCUCAGGGGAUGUGGCUUAGCAAAGAGAAAACAAAUAACAAGGCACAGUCCAUGGGAGACUGGACCAACAUCUAGACAUGACACUGUGGACACAGAAUGUAGACUUCUGACUGGAUUUAGAAUUACCAAUUGCGUGAUCAUUAAAUUUAUGAGUCAAUUUUGCUGGGCUAGGAUACCCUGUUGUUUAGUCAAACACUAGUCUAGAUGUUGCUGGGGAAAAUAUUUUUAGAUGUGAUUUGCAUUUAAGUCAGUAGACCUGGAGUAAAGCAGAUUACUCUUUAUAAUGUGGAUGGAUCCUAUCCAAUCAGUUGAAGGCCUUAAAAGCAAAGACUGAAAUUUCCCAGAAAAAAAAAAAAUCUCCUCAAGAUUGAACAUAGAAACUUUGCCUGAGUUUCCAGCCUACAACCCUGAAGAAUUAGACUCAAGGCCUCAACAUCAACUCUUUACUAAAUUUCCAGGCUGUCAAUCUGCCUAUGGAUUUUAGACUUGCCAGCCCCCAUAAUCACAGAAGCCAAUUUCUUAAAGCAAUCUGAGUGUGUCUCUGUCUCAUUAUUUCUCUCAAUAUAGAGAUGGAUAUAGACAUAUAAAUGUAUCCUAUUGGUUUCAUUUCUCUGGAAAACCUUAAUUAAUACAAUUUAUCAACCUCAUAAUUUCAUGUAUGUUAUUUAACUUUCCUGAGACUUACUUUCCCCAUUUUACAAUAGGCAAAUAAUACUUAAUUUACAUAGGAUGGCGACAAGCACCCUACUUGUGCCUAGCACAAGUAAUAAUCAAUAAAUAAUAGCUGUUAUUACUUUUUUAUUGUGUUUAUUUAAG
rnacentral:lncRNA from 10 species